CUGUAUCUGAAUGUUCCAACUUCUGGCAGCAAAUUUUCAAUCCAAAUGAGAGAUUUGGUCUGGCAGCAUCAGUGUGGUGUGAGAAACUACGUUAAAGUUUCAUGUCUCCGUGUAACUCUUCUUCAGAAUAGUGGGAAUCUGCAACCUAAAUGCUCAACUCAACUUUAUUUUCCAUAAUGAAUUAUGAAGUUGAAUAUUUGGAACUAUUUUGGCUAAUGGGGAAAACAAGCUGCCAGUGAGAUAUGACAAUGCAAAGUGUGUGGAAACAGGCCCUUUGGCCCAAUAAGUCCACACCGACC